AGAACGACUCUCGGCAACGGAUAUCUCGGCUCUCGCAUCGAUGAGAACGCAGCGAAAUGCGAUACUUGGUGUGAAUUGCAGAAUCCCGUGAACCAUCGAGUCUUUGAACGCAAGUUGCGCCCAAAGCCUUCGGGCCGAGGGCACGUCUGCCUGGGUGUCACGC
rnacentral:rRNA from 1 species